CGUAGGGUGCGAGCGUUGUCCGGAAUUAUUGGGCGUAAAGAGCUCGUAGGCGGCUUGUCGCGUCGGAUGUGAAAGCCCGGGGCUUAACUCCGGGUCUGCAUUCGAUACGGGCAGGCUAGAGUGUGGUAGGGGAGAUCGGAAUUCCUGGUGUAGCGGUGAAAUGCGCAGAUAUCAGGAGGAACACCGGUGGCGAAGGCGGAUCUCUGGGGCCAUUACUGACGCUGAGGAGCGAAAGCGUGGGAGCGAACAGGAUU
rnacentral:rRNA from 1 species